rnacentral:rRNA from 1 species
AUUGAACGCUGGCGGCAGGCCUAACACAUGCAAGUCGAGCGGAUGAAGGGAGCUUGCUCCUGGAUUCAGCGGCGGACGGGUGAGUAAUGCCUAGGAAUCUGCCUGGUAGUGGGGGAUAACGUCCGGAAACGGGCGCUAAUACCGCAUACGUCCUGAGGGAGAAAGUGGGGGAUCUUCGAACCUCCCGCUAUCAGAUGAGCCUAGGUCGGAUUAGCUAGUUGGUGGGGUAAAGGCCUACCAAGGCGACGAUCCGUAACUGGUCUGAGAGGAUGAUCAGUCACACUGGAACUGAGACACGGUCCAGACUCCUACGGGAGGCAGCAGUGGGGAAUAUUGGACAAUGGGCGAAAGCCUGAUCCAGCCAUGCCGCGUGUGUGAAGAAGGUCUUCGGAUUGUAAAGCACUUUAAGUUGGGAGGAAGGGCAGUAAGUUAAUACCUUGCUGUUUUGACGUUACCAACAGAAUAAGCACCGGCUAACUUCGUG